rnacentral:rRNA from 1 species
GAAACGACUGCUAAGACUGGAUAGGAGAUAAGAAGGCAUCUUCUUAUUUUUAAAAGACCUAGUAAUAGGUAUGCUUAAGGAAGGGCUUGCGUCACAUUAGUUAGUUGGUAGGGUAAAGGCCUACCAAGACGAUGAUGUGUAGCCGGGCUGAGAGGCUGAACGGCCACAUUGGAACUGAGACACGGUCCAAACUCCUACGGGAGGCAGCAGUAGGGAAUUUUCGGCAAUGGAGGAAACUCUGACCGAGCAACGCCGCGUGAACGAUGAAGUAUUUCGGUACGUAAAGUUCUUUUAUUAAGGAAGAAAAGAUGGUGGAAAAACCAUUAUGACGGUACUUAAUGAAUAAGCCCCGGCUAACUAUGUGCCAGCAGCCGCGGUAAUACAUAGGGGGCGAGCGUUAUCCGGAAUUAUUGGGCGUAAAGGGUGCGUAGGCGGUUUAAUAAGUUUAUGGUCUAAGUGCAAUGCUUAACAUUGUGAUGCUAUAAAAACUGUUUGACUAGAGUUGGAUAGAGGCAAGUGGAAUUCCAUGUGUAGUGGUAAAAUGCGUAAAUAUAUGGAGGAACACCAUGAGCGAAGGCGGCUUGCUGGGUCUUAACUGACGCUGAGGCACGAAAGCGUGGGGAGCAAACAGGAUUAGAUACCCUGGUAGUCCACGCUGUAAACGAUGAGUACUAGAUGUUGGGUUAAACCAGUGUCGAAGUUAACACAUUAAGUACUCCGCCUGAGUAGUACGUACGCAAGUAUGAAACUUAAAGGAAUUGACGGGACUCCGCACAAGCGGUGGAUCAUGUUGUUUAAUUCGAAGAUACCCGAAAAACCUCACCAGGUCUUGACAUGCUUCUGCAAAGCUGUAGAAAUACAGUGGAGGUUAUCAGUUGUACAGGUGGUGCAUGGUUGUCGUCAGCUCGUGUCGUGAGAUGUUGGGUUAAGUCCCGCAACGAGCGCAACCCUUGUUGUUAAUUGCCAUCAUUAAGUUGGGGACUUUAGCAAGACUGCCAGUGAUAAAUUGGAGGAAGGUGGGGAUGACGUCAAAUCAUCAUGCCCCUUAUGACCUGGGCUACAAACGUGAUACAAUGGCUGUUACAAAGGGUAGCUGAAGCGCAAGUUUUUGGCAAAUCUCAAAAAAACAGUCUCAGUUCGGAUUGAAGUCUGCAACUCGACUUCAUGAAGUUGGAAUCGCUAGUAAUCGCGAAUCAGCAUGUCGCGGUGAAUACGUUCUCGGGGUUUGUACACACCGCCCGUCA